rnacentral:rRNA from 1 species
UGCGUAGGCGGAUCAAUAAGUCAGUGGUGAAAUCUCUCGGCUCAACCGGGAAACUGCCAUUGAUACUGUUGAUCUUGAGUUCGGUUGAGGUAGGCGGAAUGUGUAAUGUAGCGGUGAAAUGCUUAGAUAUUACACAGAACACCAAUUGCGUAGGCAGCUUACUAGACCGACACUGACGCUGAGGCACGAAAGCGUGGGGAGUGAACAGGAUUAGAUACCUGGUAGUCC